rnacentral:rRNA from 1 species
CCCUACGGGGGGCAGCAGUGAGGAAUAUUGGUCAAUGGGCGAGAGCCUGAACCAGCCAAGUCGCGUGAAGGAUGACGGCCCUACGGGUUGUAAACUUCUUUUGUCAGGGAGCAAUUGAGUCCACGUGUGGGCUUAGCGAGAGUACCUGAAGAAAAAGCAUCGGCUAACUCCGUGCCAGCAGCCGCGGUAAUACGGAGGAUGCGAGCGUUAUCCGGAUUUAUUGGGUUUAAAGGGUGCGUAGGCGGGAUGCCAAGUCAGCGGUAAAAAUGCGGUGCUCAACGCCGUCGAGCCGUUGAAACUGGCGU